AAAAUGUUUUCAAAAGAAGAAAAAAACAAAAAUUAUAAGACAAGACAAUGCGCAAAAUUCUUAACGUUGGCGUUUUUGUUUUAUUUUCUACCAUUUUCUUGGUAUUUUCUUAAAGAAUAAAACAAAAUGUAUAUACAACAGCCAUUAUAUGGGGUCUCUGGGGUGGUGAACACACAUGUUUGUUGGUUGGUAAAGUCUACUGCUGAUUAUGGUGGCUCCUCUGACUAUUUGUCAUGCUGUCGAUGUUAACGAUGAUGAUGAUGAUGAUGUUUGCUGUGCGCUCAUAAUGACGUUUGAGGCUGUCUAUGCAGGCUUUCCAUAUAACCAACCUUUAAUAUAUUGAUUCAGUUACUCGCCGCUGCUGUACGAAACAACAGCAUUUCUCUUCUACUAAACAGCUAAAGAAAUUAAUUGAAAAAAAAAAUAACAAAAACUCAACGGGUCUUGAAAGCAAUUAAAAAAAUUCAAAAUUUACCGUCUUGUUAAAAUAAAAAAAAAAAUUAAAAAUUAAAAAAAAAAA